rnacentral:rRNA from 1 species
UACGUAGGAGGCAAGCGUUGUCCGGAAUUACUGGGCGUAAAGCGCGUGUAGGUGGUGGGACAAGUCUGCUGUGAAAGCGCCUGGCUUAACCGGGCGAGGUCGGCGGAAACUGUCCGACUCGAGGACGGUAGAGGGGGUGGAAUUCCCGGUGUAGUGGUGAAAUGCGUAGAGAUCGGGAGGAACACCUGUGGCGAAGGCGGCCCCCUGGGCUGACACUGACGCUCAGGCACGAAAGCGUGGGGAGCAAACAGG